rnacentral:rRNA from 1 species
AAGUGGUAGCAAUACCAUGAGUAAAGUGGCGCACGGGUGAGUAACACGUGACUAACCUACCCUGGAGUGGGGGAUAACUGAGGGAAACCUUAGCUAAUACCGCAUAAUACCCACGGGUCAAAGGAGCAAUUCGCUCUGGGAGGGGGUCGCGGCCGAUUAGUUAGUUGGCGGGGUAAUGGCCCACCAAGGCAAUGAUCGGUAGCCGGCCUGAGAGGGCGCACGGCCACACUGGAACUGAAACACGGUCCAGACUCCUACGGGAGGCAGCAGUGGGGAAUUUUGCGCAAUGGGGGAAACCCUGACGCAGCAACGCCGCGUGGAGGAUGAAGCCCCUUGGG